rnacentral:rRNA from 1 species
UACAGAGGUCUCAAGCGUUGUUCGGAUUCAUUGGGCGUAAAGGGUGUGUAGGUGGCGCGCUAAGUCGGGUGUGAAAUUUCGGAGCUUAACUCCGAAACUGCAUUCGAUACUGGCGUGCUUGAGGACUGGAGAGGAGACUGGAAUUUACGGUGUAGCAGUGAAAUGCGUAGAUAUCGUAAGGAAGACCAGUGGCGAAGGCGGGUCUCUGGGCAAUUCCUGACGCUGAGGCGCGAAAGCGUGGGGAGCAAACGGG